rnacentral:rRNA from 1 species
UACGGGGGGAGCAAGCGUUGUUCGGAUUUACUGGGCGUAAAGGGCGCGUAGGCGGCCACCGCAAGUCGACUGUGAAAUCUCCGGGCUUAACCCGGAAAGGUCAGCCGAUACUGCGGGGCUAGAGUGCAGAAGGGGCAACUGGAAUUCUCGGUGUAGCGGUGAAAUGCGUAGAUAUCAGGAGGAACACCGGUGGCGAAGGCGGUGGUCUGGGCCGGCACUGACGCUGAGGAGCGAAAGCAUGGGGAGCGAACAGG